rnacentral:rRNA from 1 species
UACGUAGGGGGCAAGCGUUGUCCGGAAUCAUUGGGCGUAAAGCGCGUGUAGGCGGCUUGGUAAGUCCGCUGUGAAAGUCCAGGGCUCAACCCUGGAAUGCCGGUGGAAACUGUCAAGCUUGAGUCCGGAAGAGGCGAGUGGAAUUCCUGGUGUAGCGGUGAAAUGCGCAGAUAUCAGGAGGAACACCAAUGGCGAAGGCAGCUCGCUGGGACGGUACUGACGCUGAGACGCGAAAGCGUGGGGAGCGAACAGG